rnacentral:rRNA from 1 species
CGCGUAGGUGGUUUGUUAAGUCGGAUGUGAAAGCCCCGGGCUCAACCUGGGAAUUGCAUUCGAUACUGGCAGACUAGAGUAUGGUAGAGGGAAGUGGGAUUCCGGGUGUAGCGGUGAAAUGCGUAGAUAUCCGGAGGAACAUCAGUGGCGAAGGCGACUUCCUGGACCAAUACUGACACUGAGGUGCGAAAGCGUGGGUAGCAAACA